rnacentral:rRNA from 1 species
AUUGAACGCUGGCGGCAUGCCUUACACAUGCAAGUCGAACGGCAGCACGGGUGCUUGCUCCUGGUGUCGAGUGGCGAACGGGUGAGUAAUACAUCGGUACAUUUCCUGGAGCUUGGGAUAGCGCGGGGAAAGCCGGGUUAAUACCCCAUUCGAACUACGGAUUAAAGCGGAGGGCGUUCGGGCCUCGCGCUGUGGGGUUGGCCGGUGGCUGAUUAGCUAGUUGGUGGGGUAAAGGCCUACCAAGGCGACGAUCAGUAGCUGGUCUGAGAGGACGACCAGCCACACUGGGACUGAGACACGGCUCAGACUCCUACGGGAGGCAGCAGUGGGGAAUUUUGGACAAUGGGCGAAAGCCUGAUCCAGCAAUGCCGCGUGUGUGAAGAAGGCCUUCGGGUUGUAAAGCACUUUUGUCCGGAAAGAAAUCCUUGGCUCUAAUACAGUCGGGGGAUGACGGUACCGGAAGAAUAAGCACCGGCUAACUACGUG